UGUGUCUUCUGGAAAAUUCCAUGUUUACUGCAUUGAGAGGCGGGAAAGCGGGGUAGGUAGGAUGACUGACAGUGGGCUGUAGGGAGAUGUCAUUCUGGCACUUAUCAAUUCUUUUUCCUAUUGUUUCAGGUUUGUUCUGUGAAUACCUAGGAUCUUGCCAUCAGAGCAAAUGCCUUAACUAAUAUUACUGCAUGAAUCUGGAGACCAAGGUACUCAGAAGACAUCUGUUGAAUGGAGAAGGGGAAGGAGAAGAAAGGGAAGGAUGAAGCAGAGGGAAGAGGAUGGGAAGGAGUUAACAGACUGUGAGAGGUUCCAGGUGCUCGAGUACAGCAGAGCCCAGUGGAGUCAAGACCACCGUCCCAUGGAAUUCACUUUCCAGUUAGAGACACGUUUUAUGACAGAGCCUCCACUGAUUCUGAGACCAAACAUUUGUUUCCCUCGGAGAGCCCCAUCUUUCCAUCACAAUCCACGUCCUUCAGUGGGUGAUUCCAACUCUAAGAGUGGGCAUGUGAUUUUGUAUCACCUCAUCAGAGCACUGUGUGCCCUUGGCCAUGGCAAUCGAGCAUCCAUGACAUUUAGCCCAAAUCAAGGUAAUGAAGUUCAAGUCAAAACUUUUGGGAAAAAAAAAGAAUGCAUUUCUUUCCAAAGGACUUAACACAGUAAGGACAUUGUCUGGAAUUGCCAGGGGACAUUACAUGGAGAAGGCCUAACCUGGAGUAAAGACAACCCAAAGCAAAGCAGAACUGAAAGAAACUGGGACUGAGUCUUGAUGACUUAACUUCUCUAGCGCUCCAGACCAGCUGUGCCCAAAGCUCUUUUGCUGGAUUAGGUUGGUGAGCCCAUACUUUCCUUUCCUUGCUUAAGCAUGUUUGAGUUGAGUUUCUGUUUCUUGUCACCAGUGUUCCCUCUGCCAUCUCCACAGUGCUAAGAGUGUUGUUCCCAGCAACUCUCUAGGAGUAAAGACCAGAUGACCUACACCCACCUUCCCACGGUAACAGUCUCUGGAGCCCUAGUCAUUAAAGACUGAAUGGCAAAAGUCACUCACAUGCUCAUGGCAGCAGUUUUAAUGAUGUCUUGUGUGGAGCUGACCCUAAGAAGGGAUUUCUAAAAAGGGCCUGGCUUAUGUAAUUUAAAUUCUUAAAAUAACUGCAGAUUGAGUCUGAGAAUCCCGCUGGGGCUCCUGACUGCCUCACCUGGGAUGGACAGGUCAGAGAUUCUCAGUGAAUGGAAAAUAGGCUGACAGCAAAAUAGGCUAAGAACAAAAUCAUCUCUUAUCCUCAGCAGAGCAUAAGAGUGGGUCAGGACUCCAAGUGGCAAAUUAG
rnacentral:lncRNA from 1 species